UGUGAUUAAAUAUUGACUUAUAGACUUUGUUAUAUACAUAAUAAGGAUGAACAGAAGGAUAUUUGUUGCAGCAUUUUCUAAAAGAGCAAAACAUUAGAAACCAUCUAGAUGUUUCUCAGUUUAAAUCAUGUGCAUGUAUAAUGGCGUGUACCACUCAGCCAUUAGAAUGAUGCCAUUAUCUUAAAUUUAUUAAUAUGGAAUACAAACCACAUGAUAUUGUUAAAUAAAAAAAGUUACAAAUAACGUGUACAGGGAUCUCAUGUUUUUAAAAAAAUGUGUUUGGGUGUGUGGGGGGCUUGUAAGCCUGGAAAAACAUCUAAAGAACAAACAUAAAGAUGUUAACAGUGGUUCUAACUCUGGGUGGUGCAAUUAUAGACAUUUGUCUUUUCUUUUUUUUCUAUACUUUCUAUUUUUAUUUUCAGUGAGCCUGUAUUCAUUUUAUAAUAAGAUUAAAAAAACUAUUUUAAAACAAAGAUAGGAAUAGACCUUACACAUUGGCACUGCCCUGUCUUGAAGACCGGACUGCCCCUCAGAGCCUUAGGUUUUAGACCUGGAAGGCAUCUGAGAGCUGCUGUAGGCCAGUCCUCCUGUUUCGCUAGGUAAGGCCAGUGAGCAUCAGAGAAGUCAAGUGAAUUGUUCAAGGUCACGUAGUGAGGUAGUGGUCAGGCCGGGAUAGGAAUCCUCAUUUUUCCCUCUACUGUAUUUUCUGCUUAGGCUACCCUUUUGUCUGCCUGGAAAUGGAGGCCAUUCAUAAACUAACCAUUUAUCCACUGGCUCUAGUCUUCUCAGAUCCCUCAAGGGGAUUUUUAAAACCAUCCUUGGGUAUGUUAUCCUCCCUCCCGUCUUGGUUUUUCUGCCCUUAGAGUAGACUGGGUCCCUUCAGAGCUUCUCAAGGUCUGCUCCUUCCUGCGAAACAGAAGUGAGCAUCACAUUUUCUCCUCUGCUCAUCGUGGCUCAAGGUGACUGUUUUUCAGAUCCUUAAUAGGGAAAACCCAAGACUCAUUCUCCUUUUAUACCCAGAAACAUCCUCUUGACACCCUUCAAGCUGUGGUAUAAAGAUGGACCUUUUAAGGUAAAAGGAUAACUAAUAUUUCUAUUUAUAGGAAACCAAACACAUUUCACUUCUUAUUCCCAAGCCAGUAACAGGAACGCCUGGGAUCACUUCUGCCGCCUCAUCCCUCACUCAUUCUGCUUCAGAUUUGUUUCAACCAAGGAUACAAUUUUGACCGUAUUAAUCUUUGAUUUGGGGGGAACUGCAUUUGUGCUCUUCCUUGCUCUUUCAGGUGUGCUCUCUUCUCUCUCUCUCUCUUUCUCUAUAAAUAAAUAAAUAUAUAUAUAUAUAUAUAUUUGAGCAAUUCAAAAGUAAGUUGCAUAACCAUAAUUCUGUUAUCAUAUCUAAGGAAGUUAGUCUUACUUUAAAUAUUUUUUCUAAUAAAUACUAGAUUUCUAACUUUUUCUAAUUUCCAGAAGAAUGUCUCAUUUAGCUGUUUUUAAAACCCUUGCUGGUUCAGGUUCACAGGCGCAUUUGUUCCUGAUGUCUCUUUUAAUUUAGCGAGCGUACCUGCCUUUUUCUGUUCUUCAUGGUGGAAAAGUCCAGGCUAGCUGUCUUGUAGAAUGAAGAAUGAUUUGGAUGUGUCUAUGGUUUCCUCAUGGCCAGAUUCAGGUUGAGCAUUUUGGCCAGGACAUGCAGUGGGUGAUGCGUUCCCCUAAGUCUGAGCCCUUGGUCAAGGUGGUCACUGCCAUUUGUCUCCCUCAUAAUGGGACAUUUUUCUCUUCGUGGUGAGUGCGUUGUCUAUGGGAGUGACACCGUGGGACCCUCUGAACAUCCCGUUUCCCAACAAACUUUCAUCUAGUGGUUUUAUCUUUUAAUUUGACCAUAUUCUUAAAAAGUCCCUUUGAUGAAGUAUGUGGAACUGGAACAAUAACUAAAUAUCACUUUAGAAUGGAUUGGAUUGAGUAUAUAGGUUAAAGCAGACAGACUUGCACAUAUGUUUGCACUGUACCAGUCUGUAGAAAUUAUCUGUGGCCUCUGGAUUUUUCUAGUCCUGACUUGAUGGGAACUUAAUUGAUGGACCCACCGCUUCCCUGUUAACCCCUACAGCGGGCAUUCUGUCACGGCCUGCAGUGCUUUUUAAUGUCCGUACAAAGUGAAUGUAAAUCCCUUUUAACGCUAAUGGCAGUGAAUGGAUGCUAAUGUGAUUUUUGCUAGCUCACACAAUUUUUCAGGCUUCUUCUUGAAGCUAUGUUGACUCUUUGCAAAAACCUUUUAUCUUCCUUUUCAAAAUCACUAUAUGAAGCUGACUUUAAAAAUGACUGAUGACUUGCCUGAAGCCUAAACUGGGUGAGCCCUGGAGCUGGUCUCUGACUGCCCGUUUGUUCAUGCUUUUCAGAUUUAAGUUACACAGCUAUUUUUGCCUCUUCCAGAUUGGUCCUCUUAUUUUCAUGCACAAAAUAUGUAGGGUGGGGAAGGUGGUGGGGAGUACUGAGGAGAAUCAGCAGCAGGCAUGUCUCUGGUCUAGGUUCCGCUUCGCCACCACGAACCCUGAGCCUCAGUGUCCUCAUCUGUAAAAGGGAACAACAGUAAUGAAGUAAUUGUUAUUAAGUGUAAUUAAAUAAUAAAGGCAACAAGGAUAACAACUAACACUUAUUGAGUGCUUCUUGAGUGCCAGCUACUAUUCUAAGCACUUUAUGUGUGUUUAAUGCAUUUAAUCAUUUAAUCCAACAAUAGUCCUGUGAGGUAAUGCUGUUAUUCCCCCCCCCCCCCCCCAUUUUACAGAUGAGGAAAUCAAGUCACAAAUUUACAAGGACUCAGCAAAGCUAAAAAAAAUAUUAUUUAUGAAAGAACUGGUGGGCUGGGGUGGGGAUGGGAGAAUGUUGUGUAAAUUCAUUUGAUCAUAUCAUGUCUAUGUAAAUAUCCACCCUCAAAAUAAUUUACAGAAAACCCACCACUUAAAAAGAAAAUACUAUGGAAAAAAUUGCUGAAAUAAAUUUGAACGUAAGUCCAAUUUAAUUUGAGAGAAACUAAGCAAUCCAACUAAGAACAUUUUUUUUUCUGUUUCUUUUUUUCAGUUUCUUGUAGCUUUGAGUCUGCCUUUUGGUUUGCUGUGAAAUCCAUAUCCCAAUUUACAUUCCACCAGCAAAUCUGACUCUGGCAUUUGAUUCACUGUCUUAUUCUGCAUGUUAUGCAUGUUAGGCAAGACCUGAAUUUGAUGCUCACAGAGUAUAUAAACACUUGUAAUCCUCUCAGCAUGUGCUAAAAUAAUAACAGAUAUGAUAGUUUGAUUUGCAAAGUAGUGUCUGCCAAGUUCUACCAGACCAUUUUUGAACUAAUUCAGAAAACAAGGAUUCAGCAACGGUGAAAAGUGUCUUAGGCUCCUAUUAAUAGCAAAAAGAAAUCCUGAUUUGAACCACGGCCACAUCAAACUCGCUUCGUCUCCACCAGACACACUUCUUGAACAGUCUUAGCAGACAUCGUUACAGAUGAUCUUUUGCUCAAAGAAACCGUUGUCUGUCAAAACCAGACUGAAUAGAAUCAGUGAAUCAGGAAAGGAUUAUUUGCAUUUGACCUUCAAAAGGGUUUACAGUAAAGAUCCUUUAAACAGUGAGUUCCUCAGUGUAUUUCAAAUAGAAAUUUACUGUCUAAGAAUUUAAAGGUCCAAUGAUAAUUUUUCAAACUUUUCUUUUUCUUUUUUCAAUUUUACAGAGGUAUAAUUGAAGUAUACUAAGCUGCGCACAUUAAAGCAUCCAUCAAAAAUCAAGAUAAUAAACAUUUUUAUCACCUCCCAAAAUUUCUUCCUGACUUGUAUAAUUUAUCCUUCUCUCUUUCCCUUAGCUCUCUUCCUCUCAGGCAACUACUCAUCUGCUCUCUAUCACUAUAAAUGAGUUUGCAUUUUCUAGAAUUUUAUACAAAGUGUAUCACAGUAUGUACUCUUUUUCUUGCCUGGCUUCUUUCACUCAGCAUAAUGAUGUUUUUGGAAAUAAUAUUUUAGAAAAUUGUGAUAAAAUCCACAUUUUUUAACUAUUUUAACUAUUUGAAAUUCAGUAGUAUUAAGAACUUUCACUAUGCUGUGUAACCAUUACCACUAUCUAGGUCCAGAACAUUCGCAUUACCUCAAAAAGAAACCCUGCCUCCAUUAAGCAGUUAUUCCAGGUUCCCUCCUCCCCCCAGGCCCCUGGCAGCCAGUACUCUGCUUUCUGUCUCUAUGGCAGAAUCUGUAUCUAUGGAUUUGCCUAUUCUGGACAUUUCAUAUAAGUGGAAUCAUAUUCUAUGUGGCCUUUUGUAUCAGGCUUUCUCUCACUUAGCAUAAUGUUUUCAAGGUUCGUCCAUGUGGUAGCAUGAAUCAGUACUUCAUUCCUUUUUAUUGUUGAAGAAUAUUCCAUCACAUGGAUAGACCACAUUUUGUUUAUCCAUUCAUCAGUUGAUAGAUUGGGUUGUUUCCACCUUUUGACUAUUGUGAAUAGUGCUGCGAUGAAGACUUGUGUACAGGUUUUUGCUUGAACAUCUGUUUUCAGCUCUUUUGAGUCUGUAUCUUGGAGUGGAAUUGCUGAGUCAUACGUUAAGUCUAUGUGUAGUUAUGGAGGAAGUUCCAAAGUGGCCGCACCAUUUUACAUUCUCACCAGCAAUAAAUGAGGGCUCCAAUUUCUCCACAACUUUGUCAACACUUGUUAUUUUCCUUUUUUUUGAAAUUAUGGCCAUCCUACUGGGUAUAAAGUGGUAUCUCAUUGUGGUUUUGACUUGUAUUUCUCUAACGACUAAUGAUGUUGAGCAUCUUUUCAUAUGCUUGUUGGCCAUUUGUAUAUCUUCUUUAGAGAAAUGUCUAUUUAACUCCUUUGUCCCUCUUUUAAUUGAGUUGUUUAUCUUUUGUGUGAAAUUGUAAGAGUUCUUUAUAAAUUCUGGAUACCAGUCCCUUAUCAGAUAGAUGAUUUGCUAAUAUUUUCUCCCAUUCUUUGAUGCUUCCUUUGGCAUAAUGAUUUUAAGGUUCAUCCGUUUCUUUUGCAUGUAUCUAAAGUUAGGUCCUCUUUAUUGCUGAGUGGUAUUCUCUCUGAUGGAUAUAUCACAAAUUGCUGUUCCAUUUACCUCUUGAUGGACAUAUAGGUUGUUUCCAGUUUUUGGCUAUUACAAAUAAAGCUGGUAUGAACAUUCCUUUGCUAGUUUUUAUGUGGACAUAUCGUCUAGUUUUCUUGGGUAAAUAUCUAGGCUAUUGACAAUUUAAACUUUUGGGAGCACAGAUGUUGUAUAGAAGAAUAAUUUUUGGUGUGAAAACGCCUUUCAACUUUUAUUACUGUAUCUUUGAAUGGAGCAUGACCCUUCAAGCCAUUUUUUAUCUUAGUUUUCAGAGCCAGUCAUUCAUUACCUUAGUUUUUUGUUUUUCUUCUACUGAUGAAUCUUCCUUCAAUAAUUUUUCAUUUGACAAAUAAUUAUUACCAGGGAAGUUGGGUCACAAGAUGAAUAAGACAACAAAACUUUAGAACUUCCAGCUGGAAGGGACCCUAGACUUCAUCUAAUUAAAUUCUCUUAUUUUAUGGAAAAGAAAGCCAGGUCGAGAAGGAUGACCAGAUUCACCAAAGGCCCCUCAUCUAUUAGAGAAGUUAAGUGAGCAGAGGAAACUUAGGUGCCUGUGAGAGUAACUUGAAGUCCGCUGGUGGUAAGGCGCCCACAGAUGCAGCAGUGCUGGCUGGGGGUGAGUGGACAGCCUGUGUUCCUGCUGGGCUGUGUAGUUCUCAGGGUCCUCUCUCACCUCCUAGCUUAUCCCAGUCAAUCCUCCAACAUCCCUGUGGAGUAGGUAGGUAUUAAGUAACUACUAGUAGGUCGGAGUCCCCUAGCCAAUGAUUAGAGAGCCCAGGCUCAGAGCCAGGCCUUCUGACCCGUUCUACCUUGCGCUCCCUCCUUCCUUCCUCUGGAAGCCCUCCUCCCCUUCCAUGCCCACUGCCACAGCCUUAGUUCAGGCCUCCUGGCUUCUCCUCCUGCCUCCAGCUGGGCUUGUCCUCAGAUCUUUCUUUUCUCCACACCAGUGCAGCCUUCAUCUUAUCAUCUGCUUGCUUAAAACCCUGUGGAGCUUGUUGCCUGUAGGUUGAGAUUCAGACUGCUUCGAAGCCCCUUGUGAACCUGCCCCAAUUUAGUUGUCCAGCCCCAGGCUUGCUGUUCUGUCUUGGCUGUCCUUCUGUUCUCUCUACCUAUACUACGUUCUGUCUCCUCAACUCGAACAUUCCCUUUCAUCUAUGUGGAUUCUGCUUAGAUCUCACCCCUUCUUGGGAGCUUUCCCUGACUCCAUGCAGGAAGGCAGGGUUGGGUGUCCUUUUCCUAUAAUGCCCUGUGGCCCCCACUGUAGCAGUUACCCUAUGCUCAGCUCUUGUUGGUCUCGCCUGAAGAUCCUGCAAAGUCUUUGUGGGCAGGGCCAGUGUUGUUCAUCUUGGUGUCCUCAGCAUCUGGCAGGGGCCCUGAGUCACAGUUCAUUGAAUACGUGAGAGAAUGAGCAACUUAACUGCAACCUAACUUUUGAUCUAACUGACUUUGUGAUGAGAAAGGAUGAUCUCACGGGUGAGAAUUGAUGUGAGACCAAUGCUUGGUUUUCUCCAAAGGUUUUAUUCAGGCUGUCUGUCUGAAAGGGCUAGAGAGACCCAGCUCCUCUCUCUUUAUGUUUGGAGAGGUGGGAUAAGUGGAGGGGUGGGAGGCACAGACCUAGGAAGUAAGAAACCCCAGCUCUGGUCUGGGCUCCACCUUGAAGCCACUGUGUGAGCAGAGGCAGGCACUUUGUCUCCCAGGUCCCACAUUUGCUAAAGGGGGGCCAGGGGGUGGGAUUAUUAUAGGGUAUGGGGAUUAUUGUAGGGUAUGGGGGUUAUUAUAGGAUAUGGGGCUUCUUAUGGAGUGUGGGCUUGUUAAAGGGUGUGGGCUUUGUUAUAAGAAUCAAUGGAUGACUCGUGAACAUGCAUUGGUAGGAAUAAAGUGCUGAAUACACGUGUCAUAAUGUAACCUGACUUUCUGCCUCACUCAGUCAUCUCCAGCCAGGGACUUGAUUGUGCCUUUAGAGGUUCAGGCAAUUUCCAGGUGGAAUUUCUUUUGUGAGAUUUGAUUAGAAUAGGAAAAAUGGUGGAAAUGACCACGUAGAACACCCCUUAAACCCCCGUUGUGUCAAAGCUUUCGACGACAGAAAUUUCUGGAUCACAUAAAAGGUUUCUCAGCCCUAAGCAAGCACUCUGCUUAUUUCAGGCAAUUUCUAAAACAACACAAUUGCGACACUGAGAUACUUUAUUAUUACCUUGAUGUUUGUGAUAAUGACAGUUUGAUUGUGGCAAUGAUAAUGAGAGUUGACCUGUGGCAGCUGCAAAAAGGAGUCACCCAGAACAUGAGUUAUUGCCCAUGACUUCUCAGUGAGACCUACUCUGACCACUCUAUUCAAAUUGCAUCCUGCACCUUCCCAUCCAAUCUCCAUUUCCUCGCUCUAUUUCUUCCAUACCGCUAGUCAUCCUCUAACAGAUAAUAUAACUUACUUGUUUGACUUGUUAUGUUUCUAUUGUCUAUUACCUCUCCUCCCACCUUGCCUGUGCCACAUAAGCUGUACAAGAUAAGGGGAGUUUUAUUCAGCGAUUCCCGCCCUCCCCUCACGCCUAAGAACAAUACCUGGCCCCUAGAAGCAGCUCACUAAAUAUUUGCAGAAUGGCUAGGUGAACCGUUAAUAAAAAUGCCAAGCUUAGGCAUCGUUACGUGGAGGCAUUUGUUUCUUCUCUGAGCCCACCUAGGCUGUAAACUCCAUGGGCUCUAGGAUCUGAGUUUUGUGAUCUGAGAAACUGAAAUGAAUAUGCAGGAUGUUAGAAGAUCAUAGCCUUUGCUCCUGUGUGAUUCUUGGAAGUUAAAGAAGCUGAAGUACCUGGGCUGCCCCCUGGCCCUGGGCACCGAUGGCUCAGUGCUCUUCUUGUGGCCUGGCUCCUGCAGUGGCCAGUCUAGUUGGACUCUCUUUGGCAGAGAUAUGAACUGUGCCUCUGGUGGGAUCUUGAUGUUGGAUGAAGAGCCAGGGGGCUAGGUCGCCUCAGUCCCUUGAAAUAGGGGCCCAAAAGACUGGGACAACUACAUGUCCAGCAACAGGAGAUUAGUGAAUACAUUUGGCUACAUCCUCCCAUACUAUGAGGACCCUCUUUGUGUGCUGUUACAGAGAAGUCUCAGGGAUAUGGGGGGAAAAGCAGGGUGCAGAAAGUAUGUAUUGUUGCUACCUUUUGUGUAGGAAAAGGGGAGAAUAGGAUUAUUUAUAUAUAUAUAUCUCAUAUGUGACAUAUGUGAUCAUAUGUGAGCUAUAUAUAUAUUAUAUAUAUGAUGUCAGAUAUAUAUAUAUAUGAUAUUCACAUUAGUCGCAUAAAAAUACUGAAAGAAUAAACAAAAAGAAAACCUAAUAAAAUGAUUGCCUGAAUGUAGGUGGAGAACAGGGCGAGUGGGUUGAGGGUGUGAGAGUGAGACCCAUGUUACAGCAGGGGAGGGAAGAAGCUCCAGGAAGGACGGGUCCGCUGUCUGAUGAGAUCAGUCUGAGCUGAUCCUGAAUCUAUGCCUAUGGGCUUGUCAGGUUGCUGGGGAAAGGUGGGGUCCAGAUGAAGGUGGGAGAAGAGCAUUUUAGGUAGGAAUGUACUUUCAGAGAUGACAAAGACAUGGUGAACUGAGAGCCUCAGAGUAAUUCCACUUGACUGGAGGUCAGAGUGUGUUUCUAAUUAAGGGGCACUGAUAGGAGAUGGGGUAGCUGGGGAGUGGUGAGAGCUGAGGAUGUAAAAUAAGGCAGGAUGCUGGUGAUACAGAAACGUGUUUCUCAAGGUAAGGAGUUUGGAUGCUAUGUUUUGAGUAUCCAUUUGUAAGCAGAGGUCUGAUGUAAUGAGAUCGGUGUUCUGGAAAGAUUACAUGGGUAUUGGAGAAGAGAGGAUAAUUGGCAGAGUUGUGUGCGUGUGUGCAUGCACAUGUGCAUGCGUGUGUGUGUUUGUGUAGAUGCGUAGCUAGAGGUAGGCAUGUCAGCUAGGAGGCCCCUGCACUAGUUAGAUGAGAGGUGCUGACGGUCUGAAAUGAGGAAGCACCAUAGCACAAGUUAAAGGUAGGUAUUGGAGUUGGAAUGCCUGAGUUUGCAUCCUGGCUUCCUACUUACUUGCUAGGUGUGUGACUGUGGACAAGUUACUUAACCUCUCUGCACUUCUAUUUCUUCAGGUAUAAAAUGGGGCACAUAGGGCUCUACCUCAUCGUGUUAUUGUCAGGAGUAAAUGAGAUCAUACACGUAAAGGUAUCAUACGUGUUAGCUGUUUGUAUUAAGGCAGUUGCAGUGGUGAUGGGGGAGGGGGACCAGACUUGAGAGAUGUUACAAAUAGAAAUGAGCAGGGAGAACCAAUGGCAUCUAUGUGCUGCCUAAUCUCAGACGCUGGGAGGAUGCUAUGGGGAAAGGGAAGCUCAGGAAAGAUGCUCUCAGUGGUGUGGGUGUAGCGAGGGGCCAGCACUUGGCUGCGGGAACGUUACAACCCACAUGUGAUUUGUUAAAAGGAUGAAAGGCAAUUAGGAAAGGAGAAAGUACCUAAAAGCCCCCCUCCCCGUGAACUUUGAUUUUCCGAUUCAGGGGACCACUUGUAGUUCACAAAGACCUAAACUAACCUAUGAUAUUUUCAAUCUGAAUAUUUAGUACUGUGCCUAACUUCUCUGACAUAAUCAAGGGAGAGAGAAUCAUGUGCAAAGUGCACAUGUAAGUCCGGAAAGGCUGAGGAUGAGGGCAGUUCCUUGAGCACGUCAUUGACCUUUCCCAAAAGACAUUUCCUUUGUCCAAAACAUAGAUAAUUGAAUCAGAUGGCUUUAAUUAAAAUCCCUUUCAGAGAUUUUUAAUUAAGCCCCCUGAGAUUACAGAGAUUUUUUUUUUUUAAUUAAAGGCCCCACCUUAUGGUGGGAAUGUAAAAAUGGUACCUUCUAAGGAAGGGAAUUUGGCAAUAUCUAGAAAAAUUACAAGUGCAUUAUUUUUUAACCAAACAAUCCUACUUAUAAGAUCAAUCCCAAAGAUACCAUGGGCAAAAAUAAGAAAAGACAUAUGCAGAAGGCUUUCCAUGGUGGCAUUAUUUGUAAUAGCAAAAGACUGGAGACAACCCAAAUGUCUAUCAAUAGGGAGUGGGUUGAAUAAACUAUGGGACAUCCAUAAUAUGAGACGCUAUAUGGCUAUAAGAAGGAAGGAGAAUGGUCUUUAUAUACAGCUAUGGGAUGAUCUCUAUGGUAUAUAUUUAAGUGAAAAAAGCAGGGUUCAGAAAAAAUAGAUAGCUUUUAUCUGAGAAAUACGUAUGUAUUUGCUUAUAAUUUAAAGAAAUGGAAGAGUAAACCAAUAAAAAUGAUUACUUGUACAGGGGGAGGAAAUGGAUGGAUGGGUCAAGGAUAGAAGCUAGACUUUUCCGAAGGUAUUGUGUUUUGUACAUUUGACUUUGGAACUCUGUAAGUAUUUUUCUUAACUACAGACAAAAUUUAAUUAAAAAAAAUAAUUCCCCCAAAUUAAGAUUAAAUGAAACAAAUGUAUGUAUUAAGUUGGUAGCUUACCACACACAGAAUUGUUUCACGUAACUUUAAAACACAAUAAUUUGAUUAUACAUCUCUAGUAGAAUAUAUCUUAAGGUCAAAACAAAUUUGAAAUGUAUCUUAAGCUAUUUUAGUAAUACUGUUAGUAAUAAUACUGAUAUUACUAUUCUGAAUUGAUUAUAUAUGUAUAGUAAUUAUGUUAAAACCACCAGAAACCAGUAUUUUUAGUAUAAUAAAAAAGAGACAGCAAUUUUAUACUCAAAGAUGUUAAGUAAAAAUCCUGUAAUCCUAAAUUUGAAUUGGAAAAUAGUAUGAACUCGUGAUAUAUUUUCUCUUUAACAAUUGAAAAAAUAUUUCCUAAAUUUUUCCACUGAAAUGCCUAGAAAUAACGACCAACUUAGUAGCAAUAAGCACCUGUAAUGUCCAGAUCGUGGCCUCUAAAUACAAUUUGCCACUAAAAGGGAUUAUGGGGGCUGGCCCUGUGGCCGAGUGGUUAAAGUUCCAUGUGCUCUGCUUUGGUGGCCCAGAUUCGCAGGUUUGGGUCCCAGGCGUGGACCUGCUCCGCUCAUCAGCCGUGCUGUGGAGGCAUCCCACAUAUAAAGUAGAGGAAGAUUGGCACAGAUGUUAGUUCAGGGCUAAUCUUCCUCACAAAAAAAAGGAGCUAUGAAUCCUCAGAAAAAUGGCUGAUUACAGGUCUGGGACAGGAAAUGUACAAAAUGCAUUGGAAUAUCUUGUAUUACAAAGCAAAGAAGCUAUCAAAGACCACUCAUGUCUUGUCAAAAGAACUCAGGAGCCAAAUUGAGCAUUUCCCAGUGCCCAAACAUGGAAUAAUUUGAGCAUUAAAAAGAACAACUGUAGUGGAUUGAUAUCAAAUAUAUUACAGUGUGUAAAAUCCAUGAGUUAAAAAUUCAGUAGUUCCCGGUGGAAGAGGCGGGGGAACCAACUUAUCCUGAAAAUUAGUCAAGAAAGGGAAAGAAUCAGACAUUUAUUCUGUCCUUUCUUAUUAGUUACCUUAGGGUAUCAGAAUUUUUGAUGAGGAGUUCUUUUUUACAGAGGAAGUCUAUCUAAUAAAUACAGAAGGAAUUACAGAGUUGGAAUGUCCCCGUUUUGCAACCCCUAGUGAAUGAGUUUAGACAACAUGGUUAUGAAACAGCUGCUAAGAACAUCAGGUGAAGCUGAUGGGAACCUUUGUAAUGGAUGGAUCAGCUGGUGACAUUCAAACCCGCUGAUCAACCUUAAUGUCACAAAAGAGAAAGACUUCCAGGCAUCAUGUGCCUACUGAGGUGAUGCAAUAGGAAGUACACAGCACUAUCAAAAAUAGAACCUGGAUCUAUGUCAGGCCCGAGAUCUAACCACCAGUUUAUAGAAAAUACAGGGGACAGAGGAACAUGUCAAAACAACACCAUGGAGAUAAAAAUCAUCCAGUUGGAAGGUGGGACACCUGGUCUCCUCAACAAAUAAGAAAAGCAGGAGGGAAGGCUGGUGUGGUAGUGUGGUGGUGAAGUUUGUGCGCUCCUGCUUUGGCAUCCCAGGUGCAGACCUAGCACUGCUCGUCAAGCCAUGCUGUGGCAGCAUCAUGCAUAAAAUAGAGGAAGGUUGGCGUAGAUGUUAGCUCAAUGGCAAUCUUCCUCAAGCAAAAAGAGGAAGAUUGGCAACAGAUGUUAGUUCAGGGCUAAUCUUCCUCACAAAAGAAAAAAAAAGAAAAGCAAAGCAAAGGGGGUUCUUCUUUUUUUUUUGGUGAGGAAGAUUGGCCCUGAGCUAACAUCUGUUGCCAAUCUUCCUCCUUUUUUUUUUCCUCCCCAAAGCCCCAGUAUAUAGUUGUAUAUCCUUGGUUGUAGGUCAUUCUAGUUCUUAUAUGUGGAACGCUGCCACAGCAUGACUUGAUGAGCAGUGCGUAGGUCCGUGCCCAGGAUCCAAACUGGUGAACUAUGGGCUGCCAAAGCAGAGCUCAUGAACUCAACCACUUGGUCAUGGGCUGGCUCCAUGGGGUUCUUAAUCUAUAAUAAAAGAUACUAAAAAUAUUUUCCAGCAAAAUGCAGUCUACAAUCUUUGCUUGGAUCCUAGCUCAAACAAACCAACUAUUAAAAAAAAAUUAUGAGACUAGUUAUGACAUUUGAACAGACUGGACAUGGAGGCUGAAGAAUGAUCUAUUCAUGUAUUGUUUUAUUUAUUUAUUUAUAGUUGUGAUAAUGAUAUUGUGAUUAUGUUAAAAUUAAAGUUAUUCUAUUUUUCAGCUAUAUACUAGAGUAUUUAUAGAUGAAAUGAUUGGCUUCAAAAGAAUAGUGUGGAGGUGAGAAUGGGGAGGGGUACAGAGUGAAUAAGAUUGGUUGCAAGUUAAUAAUUGUUGAAGCCGGGUGAUGGGUGCAUGGGACUUUAUUAUACUGUUCUCUCUACCUUGGUAUAGUUAGACAAUUUCCAUAACGAAAGUAAGAAAGAUGAAGCCCACCAGCUCAUUUGGUUGGCCAGUCCUGAUUUCAGCCUUCCCUGAGUUCAAUUUUGGGCUGUGGAGUGUACAAGUGAAAUCACCUGGCUAGCAAUUAGAAGGGCUGGGAUUCUAACUCAUUUCUCUCUGGCCCCAAGGCUCCAGGUCUUUCCAUCUUGCCUUGAAGAAUUUAUGUCCCUCUGUGGCUCAGACUGUUCUGGAAUUGUUUAGAUUGAGAGUUUACAGGGUUUUACAAGCAGCUGUAAUAUAAACUUGGGAAAAUGGGGGCAAAAGCAGAACAAGGAUGAAACAUCAGAGUUGGUCUUCCUUUGAGGGAAGGAAAUUUAGGCAAGAAGAUGGAAAGAAUGCAUGCCUCCACCUUGACCUUAUUGGGCCUUCCCUGUGGCACCACCCUGGGCUGUGGAUUGAGAGAGACCUGGGUUUCCGUAGCGUGGCCUGUCACUUACUAGCUGCGUGACCUUACUGUUCUGGGCUUCGGUUUCUUCAACCGACCUUGUCUGGUUGUGGGAGGACUACAUGAACUGGUAAGGCCUCACAUAUUUAUUUCGAAGAGAAAGCGGAAGCACAGUUCACUGAGAUCCUAGGAAUCCCUGAGCUGGGCUGGACAUUGCGUGUUUGGAAAUGCCUUAUGACCUGCACCUCCCCCUCCGCCCCCCAGCCCUAGCACAUUCUCCAGCACUUUCUCCAGGACCUGGGGCAGCCUUGCCUAAGUUUGGAAUGACCAUUUAGCCUGAGUGAGGAGGCACAGUGCUCUAAGGGCAGUAGUUUCUCCACCUGGCCGUGUUUUAUUUUAGGUGGAUUGAUAGCCUAGGGCAGCUGGAGAGGAUCCUUCUUAGGUGAGUCUGUAGAAAACUCCAGCUGGCUCGCUGGAGGCCAGCUUUAACUUCGCCAUCUUUGAAAGUGGAAAGAAAAGGUGAAAUUGCUUGUCUUUUCUGAAAGAAGCACCACAUUUUCUUUCCCUUCUACUCUGUUUACCUCUGACGACGGUAACCCGCCCGCCUUUCCUCGCUAAAUCUCCUGACACACAGGGCUCCAUCCUGGCAGUGGGCAUCUUUUCACCAGCCCUUUAAGAGUUCCUGGCACAUGUGUUUGGUUGUCACUUGGUCACCUGGGAAGUGUCCAGGAGCCAUACCUUGCGCCUUUGAUCCAAUGUGGCCUUUGAUCCCUGGCGUCCGGCUCACUUUCCCCCACUGCAUGUGACCCAUCCACUCGCCGGGGCUGAGGUGUGAGUGAGCCACUGGCUUGGGGAAGCGCAGCCACAUGGAGCCCUGAUUUACGAACUGUCCAGAUUUAACUGAGGCUACAGCACUUUUAUUAAUAGAACAUGCUGCAUUUCCUUUUUAUAAAAAUAUGAAGAUCACUGCGCUCAGGAAAAUGCCUGGUGACUUUCUGUCUUUAGGGCAUGCUCAUCACCAGGCUAAAAUUAAAAGUGAAGUCAGGCCCCUCUUGAGUCUAUUUUUAACCGAGUUUAGCAUAUGAAUGUGAACGUGAAGUCUUUCUUUAGAUCUCCCUUAACUCAAUUACUUACUUAUGCCAAGCAUCCCGCCGAGAGUUCCAGAGCUGUGGCUGGGUCUACCUAGGGUGAAAGUCCCAAAGGGAAGUUAGGGACAACUUGCUGAUCCCCUGCUAUCUGAGUUUAUGUGUCUUCACCCAUCCCAGCUUCACUUAUCCUAGAACGUUAAGGUGGAGGUAGCCAUUAUACUAGAAAAAAAUAAAACAGGGGAAAAAAUCAACCCACUCACCUAUGACCGUUCUGUGAUGCUCAGAUAUCAAGUGCCCGGAAUUGGUACCUAUUUUUCCAGGGGCUCCAAUUUAGAAGCAGCCACUUGGGUGGAAGGGAGACGCUGGGUGCCCGGGGAGACGUCAUUCAGCAGAAAGUGCGAAUGGCCCGGCAUACCAGGGAGACUUGAGACAACAGGUGGAGGGAGGGAGAGGGAAAAAAACUUAACAAGUGUCAUUCCUGUCCAGAGGGCUCAUGAUGAGUGAUGAGAGCGCUGCGGAAAACUUUCAGAAACCCUCUUAAAUUCCCUCUUUGAAAUCUUUUUAAAGUCUGCUCUUUGAGGACUGUGAAGGGAGGGGAGAGCAGAGGGCAGAGAUGAUCCUGACUCUUAAGAUUCUUUGGCCUAAAGUUUCACUUGAAGGCAGGGAGUGACAAAGGCUCUCGUUUGAACUUCUUCUUAAGGCAGUUCCCUGUGGACAUUUUUCGGGGAAAACACUUUUUUAAAAAGCCUGUUGAGCAUGAUAAGUCCUGGCCUUUGCUUUGUUUUUUUGAAAAGUGAUUUUGAAAACGGUGAUUUUAAGUGAAAAAAGUGUUCAAGUUGUGUUAUUUUCCUUCUCACUUUUAUGUGAACGUAUACUCAGCUCAUCUUGCCCUGAGUCCCUUAAAGGCAUUGUUAUUUUUAAGCAGAGGAAAAACUUCCUUUGAUUUUUUCGGUAUGGCGGCAAAGCCAUCGUUGAGGAUAAGCGAAGAUUAAUUUAAAAUGCCAGUUCCUUUCACUAAUCCGCUGACAGGGAGGGUGUUUAUGGCUGGAGAACUAUGCAGAUGUUUCCAGACAGAGUCUGAGAGGGAAGAACAGGGAAGGGUGUGUGUGUGUGUGUGUCUGUGUGUGUGUGUGUGUUUGUGUCUCUGUGUGUGUCUGUGUGUGUGUGUCUGUGUGUCUGUAUGUCUGUGUGUCUGUGUGGCAGGUGGUCAUUUUACUUUUGGGGACUAGGAGUGAUAUUUAAACAAUAAGCUCCUUCUAUAUAUUAUUUGCAUUUUCUGCUAAAAGCAAUCAAAAUGAAGUAUGAUGUGUUUCUAGGCCACUACCGUCUGUCUGAAAAAUCCCUUACAGGUUUUCGCCUGCAGUCCAACAAACUGCUUACAGGCAUUAAUGAUCUUUUCAAUAAAACUGUGGAUUAAAUGACAACACUUUUAGGCUCAGUUCUGAAGACUUUGCACCUUCAUUUGGUUGCAGUCAAGGACUGGCUGCCCUGGCCAGAUUGAUAUUUUUCGGUGUGUCCAGCUGGUAAAAGAAGGUAAGGGUAGGAGUGGGAAAGGGUAUACACUAAGUGUGCUUUAGAAUGUUGCCACAGUCCUUAAGCAUAGGGGCUGAAAGAUGCUCUCCUGGCUUCUGGAUAAGGCAGUUGGUUGGGACUUGUGAAUGGAUAAACCCCUCAUAAACAGAGUUGCUGAAUUCAGAAUAAUAUAUCAUUUCUUUGAAACUAUUCAGUUUCAUCCAUUCAGUUGUUCCUGAUAUUUUUUUCUUCUUCUUCUUCUUCUUUUUUUUUUUUUUUUGCUGAGGAAGAUUCUCCCUGAGCUAACAUCUGUGCCAAUUUUCCCUCCCCUGCCUUUUUUUAUAAUUCUCAACUUUAUUAUUUCGUAUGCUUUUUUUUUUUUUUUUUGGUGAGGAAGAUUGGCCCAGAGCUAACAUCUGUUGCCAAUCUUCCUCUUUAUUUUUUUUCCUCCCCAAAGCCCCAGUACAUAGUUGUACAUCCUAGUUGUAAGUCAUUCCAGUUCUGCUAUGUGGGAUGCUGCCACAGCAUGGCUUGAUGAGCCAAGUGUAGGUCCUUGCCCAGGAUCCAAACUGGUGAACCCCAGGUCACUGAAGCAGAGCGUGUGAACUUAACCACCAGGCCAUGGGGCCAGCCUCUUUUUGUCUUGGUUUUUACCUCGACUCAAGUUUAUUCCUUGGUGAGGCUAAUGACUCAUCUCUAUGGUACCUUUUACUUUCACCUUGCUUGGUUGUUCCUUUUCAGGAGAACAUUUUUGUCUUGUUUUUCUUUGACUUGACCCCUUAGGGAGUCUAAGGAUUUCACAUCUUGGAGUUUCAGGAUGGAUCCAAGAAAUGGUCACGAUCACUCUCGUCUCCUUCCCAGGGACUGUUGGGUGGUGGUAUGUGGCACAGAUAGAUAAGGAAGCAAAGAAUGUGGCACAUCCCUAAAUUGUCCUCUGAGGUGAGAUCUGAGCCUAAAUUUCCCCGGACUGGGCUGCGUUUCUUUAGAUCACGUGCUUGUGUGUGAAGAGCCUGUGAAAAUCAGCCUUUGCUUCUUCCGCUGCUAUGAUCUGUGGGGUUGUGGCUGGGCCUGCAAUCCGCGCAGCCAUGGUUCCUCCCUGCUGGAGUUCUCCAGCAUGGCGGUUGAGGGCAGCGCUCAUUCCAGCUGCCAGCACGGUCCUUCUCCUUCCCCGACAAGGGGGAGCCGGGCUCAGAGAACAUUGAAAUGCAGUAAAACCAUCCCUCUUGCAAGUUUCCUUCUGAAUGUCCAUGGCUGGUAAAAAUAUGGUUUAUUCUCAUAAAUACUUUAAGGCAUACUUCCCUUUCUCCAGGUUUUAUUUGUAACAGCCCUACUGUAACAACCUAAAGGGACAGCUUUGAAAGAAAAAAUAAUUACCAACAAUCUCUUUGUCAGACUCAAUUAUCUGCCUAUUUUGUCUUCAUUCCUUUUCUGUUCGGUCAUGUGCAUAUAUUUUGAAAUAUGACACACAACUUUAUGUUCUGUUUUUUCUACUUAACAAUAUAUUGUAAAAAUAUUUCUCUGGAGCCGUAUCUUCAUAAUUUAAUUUUCCAUGACUGCUUGAAAUUCCACUGAGCUGAUCUACCAAAAUUUCUCUAAUCACCAACUGAUGGACAAUUAUGGUUUCAGUUUUUGAGUCCUAUCAAUACUACAGUAAUGGAUAUCGUCAUGCAUGUAGCUUUGGAAUAUUUCCCAGGAAUGGGGUUACAAAAGGUAUGAAUAUUUUUAUUGUUCUUGAUAUAUUUGCCACAUUGCAGAGUCAGCAGUAACUUAUGCGGUUAUGAGUUUGGAUAUGAAACUUAUGAGAGUUUUGUGAGAGGAUAUGAGAACCACUCUGCCUGGGUUUGAAUCCCAGCUUUGCCACUUACCAGCUGUGUGACCUGGGCAAGUUAACCUCCCUGUGCCUCAGUUUCCUCCUCUGUAAAGUGGGGAUAACCACAGUACCUACUCCAUGGGGCUGUUAUUAGGAAUGAGUUAGUUAAUAUUUGUACAGUGCCUAGCACAGUGCCGAUGCAAGUGUUAGGCACUGUGUGUCUGUUAAGCAAACACAUCUCACUAUUUCAAGAUUUUUAAAAAAAUCAAUUUAAUAGAAAUAUACUUUGUUUUCUUCUUAAUAUUUUUACAUGUUUAUUAACAGUAUUUCAAAGAAACACUCCUUUUAAACCUUUUUGGAAAAAGUAAAUUUAAAAAUGUGAAUUUACAGGGGGCUGGCCCCGUGGCCGAGUGGUUAAGUUCCUGCGCUCUGCUGCAGGCGGCCCAGUGUUUCGUUGGUUUGAAUCCUGGGCGCGGACAUGGCACUGCUCAUCAAACCACGCUGAGGCAGUGUCCCGCAUGCCACAACUAGAAGGACCCACAACAAAGAAUGUACAACUAUGCACCGGGGGGCUUUGGGGAGAAAAAGGAAAAAAUUUAAAAAUCUUAAAAAAAAAAUGUGAAUUUACAGAACAGAUCUAUUCGCGUGGGAUUAUUCAUAUUAUUUUGGAAUUCUUCCUUAUGCUUUUACAACGAGAGCCCCCAUCCCUUUAGGGUAUGUCUGAGGGUCAAUGUCUGCUGGCCACUGACGUGCUGAGGCUGACAGCCCCUCAUCUCUGAGGAAUUCCAAUGCUUAAAUCAAUCGGGCCUGCCCCCUCACGCUGGAGGGACAAACGUGGGUAUUUUAGGGCCUGUAUUAGGGGCUUUUCUUCCAUUCUUGUUAAUGUGGAAUCCCGGUUUUGAUGUCCGAGAGGGCUUUUACCUGCGAGACUGCAGGGCCCUCCUCCUCGCGGCCCCCAUGCGUCUCGGCGCACGUGGAGCAGGUUCUCCGGCGCUGGGCGGCGAUGCCCGGGACCCUGCGGGUGGGGGCAGUGGUGAGGCUUCAGCCGGACCCCUGGCAGGCCGGCUGAGGGCGGGAGAGGUGGCAGCACUUGUCGCUUUAUGGCUCGAUCAGCUUUCCUCUCCUUAAUCCCGGUUGUUUCUGCUGAGCUCUCCGAAUAAUUCAAUCCUUGUGUGUGUUUAAAAACUCUAGAAGCCUGGGAAAUCUCAGCGAGCCGGGCGAAGGGUAGGCUCCCUGCGAGUCGUGUGUCACCCGCACCGAGACCCUGCAUCCCCCUCCGGGGAGACCCCCUCUCCCUGCUGGCUGCCGCCCUCUCUCGGACCCGCCGAGCUUUCGGGUGCCUUCGGCCGACAGCCCCGGGGCCCGCGGCGCCCGGCGAUCUGCCGAGCCCGCCCUGUUCCAGCGCCCCAGGCUCGGUCGCAGGGAGCUGCCGUCCCCUGCCUAGGACCUUUCCAGGCCUGGGGGGUCACAGCAGCCCUCGGAGAGAUGGUCGUUUCUCAAGGAGUGGGGAAGCGGCUUCUUUCUUUUGGAGCGCCAAGGCCCCCAUCAUUCUGGGACGCACCCUGGACCUGCACCUUAGCAGUCGUUCAAAUAAGGUGAACACGAGCUUCUUACAGGACAGUGGAAAAGCGGAGAAAAACCCUUAUGGGUCCACUCUCCAAAAUCAGCUGCGGUUUAGGAUAGUCCCUUUGCCUUCUUUUUCUUUUUUCUAGUUUUAAUUGUGCUAUAAUGUUCAAUUCUGAAGUCUGCUUUUUUUCACUUAACAUUAUUUUACAAACAGGCAUACUGGCUGCAUAAUAUUUUUUUUUAAGUAUAUACAGUCGUUUCCCUGUUGGUUAUUUAGUUGGUUGGGGUCUUCUUUUUAAAAAAAUAGUUCUGUGGUAAACAUCUUUUUGCCUAAAGUUUUCUCCCUAUUAGGUUGUAGUCUCAUUAUUGUAAUUAUUUGGAGCAAAAUGCGGGGACAUUUUUGUCUCUCUCUCUGUCUUUCCCUCUUCUCUCUCUCUCUAUGUGAGAUAUAUAUACACAUAUGUGUUAUAUAUAUAUAUAUAUAUAUAUAUAUUUUUUUUUUAAUAACUUUCCAAAAAGUUUGUAGUGAUUUUCGCUCCCGCUAGCUAUGCUUGAGUGUGUGGUCUACACCAGCCUCACCAGCACUGGAUAUUCUGAGAAUCCUUGUCAGAUACUGAGGCUAAGACCAUAGGAGAGGAGAGUUAGGAGGUGCUGACUUGAGAGUCUGCAUUCUGUAACCGUCUUAUUUCCAAUGCCCUGCAUGUUGAGGAUGUUGGCCUCUAUGGAACCUGGAGGAAUGAGGUUUAGUUGUGUUUCAGGGGUCGAGGUGGUUCUGGAGGUUGUCUUGGAUCAGUGCGAUUAAAGUAGAGUGCCGUUGUCAUGGCUUGCUAACCCACGGGCUCGAGUCACAUAUAAAGGAAAUACCAUUUUCUGCCUGUGACACACCUUUGUGGGUUUGGCUUCCAUUUUAAGCAGCAUGGUUCACAAGGGAGAGGCUUUCCCUUGCCAGUUUGAGGACCCAUCUUCCUGGGGCAGAGACCAGACCUGAGAUCAUUUUGAGCAACCCUGCCCUCAUAUUGCAAUUGCUUGUCAAGGUUGUUCCCUGGGGGGGGUCUCUCUCCAAGGGUGCACUUCAGUCCCUUUGUGUGUCAGGUGGAUGGGAAGAACUGAGGAAGCCACUUACAGCCAUUAGUCUGCAAAUGUGUUGGAAGGGCUGCGUUUUAGUAACAAGUGAACUGUGUAGGAUGGUUUGAGUUGUUCAUGGUCAGUUCUUAGGUUCUGUAAAAUCCAUUAGAAAACCUGUGACCGUAUCAUCAGUUCAUGCAUUCUGUGCCUGGCUGUCAUGUUCGUGAAGCUUUGCUUACAAUCGCGAGCUCUUAAAUCCAGAGCUGCUGUAUAUGCCCUACUACUUUAGUGUUAGAGCAGGAGUCCAGUGUUCUGCAGUUUAAACAAGUUCUGAGUAUCUCCUUAGAAUUACUCCCAGUUCCCAGCCCGUUCCAGAUGCUGGGCACACUUGAAUUAUAGAACCUGUAGCUGCACAUUUGUGUCAUGACUACCCAAGCUCAAUAAUGCCCCCCAAGUCUUUGUGGAUCACUUAGGAGCUCACUGGAUUAAUAGGGUUGAAGCCUUUUAAUCCAAAUAAUUUUAAUUGCAUUAGGAAACCUGCAUAUUAACAAGCGGGUAGUAAGUGCAGGCAUUAAGACUGAUACUGCUUAAGUCUUUGAGAUCAAAUUUAGAGUCUGGCAUCGUUGAGGCUGUGGAUGAACUGUAUUCUUUAGACUCAAGUUUCUUAAGUCCACUCUCUACUCUUGGAGAUAAUUCUCACAUACCGUCCUCAAGGAGCUUGCAACCAAGUCGUGGGGAUAAGGCAAAGAAAGGUGAAGUAUUUAACAAAUGUUUCAGGACAGGACGUAAUCCUGUGUUCACGGUGUGUGCCUGAUUGAGGACGGUGUUCUAAGUGCCAACGUUGUGGGGUGCAAAUGGUCUGGAAGGAGAAGACCAGUGGGCCCUCAGCGUUUGGGGAAGACACAGAGUGGGUAGAAUUUGGAGAGCCUGGUUAGAAUAAGAUUUUUGUUGAAUUGUGAUGGGUGAAAGGUUGCAUAGAGUGAUGGGUCUGGGUCUAGGGGGAGCCCAAAGUCAAGCAGGGAGGCUGAUCCUUGAAACCAUGACCGCCAUCGCCAUCCUCGUCAACAGCAUGUUCCUAGCAGCUACCCUUUAUUGUGUGCAUACAGCCUGGUUCUCAGCGCUUUACAUAUGUUAUCUUAUUUAAUCCUCAAACAACCUUAUGAAGCAGAUUACAAUUAUUGUGUGCACUUUCCAGCAGAGGAACUGAGACAUAAAGAAGUUAAGUAACUUCCAGCUGGUAUGUGGCAGAGUUGGGGUUCAGAUGGACUGAAUCAGGCAGCCUGUUCGCGGAGUCUGUGUUCUUCACCACAGUGUACUACUACCUCUGAGUAACAGCUGAGACCUCCUGAUGCCAUUAGCAUGGUCCCCUUUGGGUUCUGGAGGAGCCUAGCCUUUCAAAUCAGACCUGGGCUUACAUUCUGGCUCUACCACUUUUUAGCUAUGACCUUGGAAGUUAUUUCUCUGAACCUCAAUUUUGUCAUUUAUGAAAGAGGGGUAAUAAUAAUAAUGCUAACUUCAGGGUUGUUGGGAGGGUUAAAUGAGAUAGUUUACACAAACCACCUAGCAGAAUGCCCACCAGGGAGUAAGCAGGCAGGCAAUGAUAGCUGCUAUGGGCUUACAUUUUUCAAAUAUCCCUAGGGCUAUAAAGAGAUCUCUGAGAAGAAGAAAGAAUGAGAAUAAGACAUGACUCAGGUAAAAUUUUUUUGGUGUCACUUGUAAUAAUAAUUAGCCAACACAGAUACCAGAUGUUGUAUUCCUUCUUCUGGAGCAUUCCAGGAAUGGACUAUAAAUUCCAAAUGUGGCUCUUCAUUGCUCCAAGAACUGACUGCAUUUCUCCUUGUCCUCCAAAACUUGGAGGGUAAAACCAGGACAUUGCACUGAAAUUCGGCACAGGAUCUGGUGCCAACUGUGCAUUCCAAGGGCUGAAAUCAGGAUCUGCUGAAAUUAUCAGUGUCCUAGUUCUGCUGCUUCCCACUUCCUGAUGGUACCCACCCCAGAUAAUUGCUCUGCAUCUCAGAGAGAAAAAUAGAUAUUUGAAAGUAGCAUAUUUAAUUGUCUAUAAAGUUAAACAAUGCACGGAAUAUUUAUAACCAAGACAGAAAUGUUUAAACAAAACAAUUUAAAAGAAAAAAAACCAGUGCAAGAAAAACUGUGCUCUAAGGCGAAGUGCUAAAUAAAAAAAUCACUUCCAGGGGGGCAGGCCCCAUGGCCUAGUGGUUAAGUUCGAUGUGCUCCACUUCAGCAGCCUAGGUUCAGUUCCCAGGCACGGACAUACACCACUCAUCAGGGGCCAUGCUGUGGUGGCAACCCACAUACUAAAAGAGGAAGAUUGGCACAAAUGUUAGCUCAAGGUGAAUCUUCCUCAAGUGAAAAGAGGAAGAUUGGCAGUAGAUGUUAGUUCAAGGCAAAUCUUCCUGAACAACAACAACAAAAAAAAUCACUCUCAGACUUUAUGGAGAAAUAGCACUUGGUGAUUCUCACACUCAAGUCUUGCACAUUUUCAACAGUUCACAUAGUAGUUUUUCUCUGUGUAACAUCCUGUGGUUGUAGAGUUUUUCUUAACAUUACUUCCUCCAAGAAUUUUGAAAGCCACAGUGCAUGUGUCCACCAGGAAGAACAAUUUCUAAUCCUCUUCUGAUUUUCAGUCUCCUUGGUGGUGACAAACCUAUUUGUUCUGUCUCUGCUUCCUUGGUAUGAUCUGACUUGGUUUCCUUGGAACCACUAAAUGUUCCUUGUUGCUCCUAAUCCAAUAUUGGUUUUGAAAUUUGGGGAUGUAAGAAGCUAUAAGGAAAAAUAAAAGUUAAAAAAUAUGUAAUGUGUCUGAAAAUGUGAAAAUUUUAUUAAAAUUCCAGAGUCACUGUAGAAUUUUUAAGUUUCCAAAUAAGGCUAGAAUCAGAUGGCUACUUGCAGACCUAUUUGGGGCUAAGUGGUAUUUUGGAAAAACUGGAGUGUUGCCCAUGGUUUAAUUUUCCUAAUUUUCUAAUAGGUGAAUUUUAAAAUAGGGCAUCUUAGAUAGUUUUUGGUUUUGAUGGGCCUAUGGUGCUCAUCUUCCUGUAAUGACUUUCUGUAUAAAAGUAAUGGUGUCAACCUGGCUGGUAAAAUAAUGGCUUUCUGAAUUGUUUUGCUUGAAGUAAAGGGGGUUUGCAUCCUCCAGAGCUUACUGCUUCCCUAUCUAACCCAUAGGACACUUCAUUCAUUCCUAUUUCAUUCAACUAAGAGAAGUAUUUAUUGAACUCCUACUACGUGCUAGGUGCUGUCAUAGGGGCUCACUGACGAACAGAACAGGUGUGGUCCUCGUGGGUGGAGCCCACGGUCUAGUGCAGAAAACAAACAUAAACCGAAAACAUGCAGAUAAUUAUGAGAGAGUAAAUUGAGGUAAAUAAUAUGAUGGAAAAGAAAGGAUUUCUUUCAACCUAAGGCGGGGAAAUGGAGUAUGGGAAUACUGAAAAGUUUAUUCAUUCAAAACAGAUUCCUACAAAAACCUAAACAAAGAAAAAAGAUUAAAAAUGAUUAUGCAAAAUAUAUGUAGGUGUCAAGGCAUUUAAAUACAUUGUUUCCAUUAAUUGGCCAUGAAAGUAUCACUAAAUGGAAUUCUGUUGCAAGACACAUUUGAGCCCGCGGCCAUGCUGAGACCAUGAAAGAGUCUUCUCGUAAUUUGGUUCACUUUACUGAAGCAGCUUCAUACUCACUGCGAUGUCACUGGAGGUGGACGUCCUGAGUCAGUCACCUAGGAAAAGCUCUGGUUGGGUGACUUCUCCCUCGUCGUUUGUUUCUGGUAAGAUGCACUUUGGUUGUGGAAAGCAUCUUGAGUGUGCAAGGCCAGAGGGCUCUGGGUCCUACUCUCCAUUCUGCUGCCAGCUCCUCUGGUCAGAGCUCGGCUUCUCUGAGACUUGGAGACUUGGAGUAUGAAGGGGUUGUGCUUGAAGACGUUAAAGAGUUUUCCAGGUCAAAUUUUAUUUUAGAAGCAGUGGGUAGCAGGAGAAUGUCUGGGGCAGCAUCACUUCGUACUUAAUCAAGAUGUGACAUUUCCGUGGUGUGAUGCAGUUUUGGAGCACUGGACCAGGAGUCGGAAAGUUCCAGGCGCUGCAGUACCUCUGACUGAUGGAAUGACUUGGUUUAUGCUCCUCCGGUCCCAAGCGCAGAUGAGUUUGUGCUCAGCUGCAACCACAUUCAGAGACAGGGCGGCUCCAUCGGGGGUAAGCCUGCAGGUUCUGGGUUCAAAUCCGGAACAGUCCACCAAGUGGCCAUGUGGACUUGGGCAGGAAACUUGGCCUUCUUGAGCCUCAGUUUUCACAUCUGUGAAAUAGAUCCUCGGUUUCUCAUUUAUAAAUACUCUUCUCUGCCUCCCAAGGUUGGGACAAGGAUGAAGGCCAUGUAAGGUGGUUAGUACAGUACCUGGUGCAUAGUAAGUGCCCAAUAAAUGUUCACUGUUACUGUCAUUUUUGUGCUAUUAGUAAUUAUCGUGGCUUCUGUUAUUGUGGGUCUUCAGGUGGCCACAUCAUGUCGCCUCCUAAGGCUGGGUGUCUUGCCUGUGGUGCCUGCCUCACAGGGUUGUUCAGAAAGUCAGGUGUCAUUAUGUGAAAGUGCUUUAUGAACCCUCAGAUCCUCUCCAGAGCCAAGGGGGCAGGGCUGGGCAGGUGAAAGCAGAAGCCUGGAGGUCUGUCUGUCUGCCGCUCGGCUGUUUUCGAGGGAGGGUUUGGCUGGGGCAGGAAGGCAGGUCUGUCCUCCUGCAGCCCUGACAGACUGAGGCACAUGCAGACACACUUCCCAUCCAGGCAGACAGGCCCAGCCCGCAGAUGGCCACAGACUUGUUCACUUGGUGAUUGUCAUUCACAGCUCCUGCCAUCUCAUGCCAGAGGCAGUCAGAGGGCAUCUCGAUCUCAAUUUCAUCUCUAGACUGACCCUGCCCGCUUUCAACCUCCUCGUCUGAAAUUUCUAGAGAACGGCAUAGUAGGACAGCACUGUUUUUAAACGACUUUAAAAACAGUGAUAUGGGGUAGUGAAAAACAGUAAAAUCCAGAAACUGUGAGUGAGAGGUGGCGUUGGUGCCGGGCACCUGUUGUCACGCAGGCUGCUCUGGGCGAGAGCAAUUUGUUUGUUUGGCAAAACCACUGGAAUGUUCUUGGUGGGGCGGAAGCCCGGGAGUGGGUGGUGGG
rnacentral:lncRNA from 1 species